rnacentral:lncRNA from 1 species
AAGGUUUUAAGUGAAUUUAACCAUGCAAUUGGCAUUGUUCACGUGGGAUUACUCCAUGCACCACCACUUUUCAUUUUUUUGCCAAAACACCUUAUCUCACUUAAUUUCAACUAAACAUGUUUAAUUUUGAUUAAGAGUGGAUUAGCACAUCAUAUAUAUACAUAAUCAUAACAGAAUUUUCACUUCUUCACCAUUUCUAGAUCUAGAACUUUUUCCCUCCAUUUUUUUUC